rnacentral:rRNA from 1 species
AUUAUGGAGAGUUUGAUCCUGGCUCAGGACGAACGCUGGCGGCGUGCCUAAUACAUGCAAGUCGAGCGGAGCACUUCGGUGCUUAGCGGCGGACGGGUGAGUAACACGUAGGCAACCUGCCUAUAAGA